rnacentral:rRNA from 1 species
UACGUAGGGGGGCUAGCGUUGUCCGGAUUUAUUGGGCGUAAAGAGCGUGUAGGCGGCCAGGUAGGUCUGCUGUGAAAGUCCAGGGCUCAACCCUCGGAUGCCGGUGGAUACUGUCGGGCUUGAGUACGGAAGAGGCGAGUGGAAUUCCUGGUGUAGCGGUGAAAUGCGCAGAUAUCAGGAGGAACACCAAUUGCGAAGGCAGCUCGCUGGGACGUUACUGACGCUGAGACGCGAAAGCGUGGGGAGCAAACAGG